rnacentral:rRNA from 1 species
AUUGAACGCUGGCGGCAGGCCUAACACAUGCAAGUCGAACGAGUGGCGGACGGGUGAGUAAUGUCUGGGAACCUGCCUGAUGGCGGGGGAUAACUACUGGAACCGGUAGCUAAUACCGCAUACCAUACGAUGUGCACAGAUUGGAUUAACUAGUUGGUGGGGUAACGGCUCACCAAGGCGACGAUCCCUAGCUGGUGUACAAGGAUGACCAGCCACACUGGAACUGAAACACGGUCCAUACUCAUACGUGAAGCAGCAGUGGGGAAGAUUGCACAAUGGGCGAAAGCCGGAUGCAGCCAUGCCGCGUGUAUGAAGAAGGCCUUCGGGUUGUAAAGUACUUUCAGCGGGGAGGCGUUACCCGAAGAAGAAGCACCGGCUAACUCCGUGCCAGCAGCCGCGGUAAUUC